GACUUCGAAAAUAAUAAUUAGCUCGAUAAUUCAUUUGUAAAUUAUUUAAAUGAAGAAGGUGUAAGACACGUCAACAAAGAAGCAAAGUACAAUGUUGCACCAAGGUUCCUAUUAAAUUUCUUUGUAAGAUAAAACAAGGACAAUUGAAUCAAUAACUAAAUUCAUAAGAUCAGAAAGAAUGAUAAUUCUUUUGAAAGGUCUUAAGAUUGAAAUGCAACAUGCCAUGAAGAUAAUUGAUGAUGACAAGUAUGCGUGUUUGAUUUGAAAAUGUGAAGACUUAGAUUUUAU
rnacentral:lncRNA from 1 species